GGGGGGAGGCUGGAUCCCGGGCUGUAUCCCUGGCGCCUUGGGCUCCCAAGCCUGCGCUUUGGAUUCGUGCUCCUGGCCGCGCAGCCCCCU
rnacentral:pre_miRNA from 1 species